UUGCCAUUUUCAAGAUAAUAAAAUAUGUAAGAAUUCUGGAAAGAUGAUGCAUGGGUUGUCUGGAUGUUACUCAUUAGACAUGGUGUUUACUUUAUGACCUGUGACUUUAAACUGUGUUCCCAAUGUUGACACUGGUACACAAGACGGACCCACAAGACAACUACUCAGUACAAGCACGCAUUAACAAGUAAAGAUAUUCUUGUCUCUGCAGAUCCAUCCAUUCACAUUUAACUGGUAUAUAUUCAUGAGAAUUGUUCUUUAUACAAACAAACAUGUUUAGCCAUGUGUUAGAUAGAAUAUCGAGCCUCAAAAGCUUCACCAACAUAGAGCUCUUGUUGGAGGUCAACAGUGCUGCUUAACUCUCAACAUUACAACCAUAUCAGUGAUCACAAAGAUUAGAGAGAGCUUGAUGAGUAUCAAGGGUGCUUCAUAUUUUAACCAAAAAAUUCAGUUUUUUUCUUUUCAAAUAAUAAAAAGGAGCAGGAAAGUAACUUUAAAAUUAAUCAAAUGGUGCAUGUGUAAACAGGAAAAAUGACAGAAGUGGAUUUACUUGAAUCGGAAGACCGGAUUCCCCAGAACUUUGAAUGACACAUACCAUUUUUUUGCUUUACAACUGGAAUUUCUGGGGUUUUUCCCCCAAGAGGUAAAUAGUAAGCACAAAGGAACUAGUUUCCUUCUACGAAAGAAAAACACAAACCCACUCUAAGAAUGAAGUUGUUUAUGAAAGGUAGGUAGGAUGCUUUUAGACCUGCAUAUUUCUAUGCACCCCCAGGGUUAAUUACAUGUAUUUAUAGUUUUGAGCUAAUUAUUUUUACUUUUGAAAGUAUGUAAAAUUGAGAUUUAGAUUUAUACUUAAGCGUGAAACUCUUUAAAUUUAGAGGAAAUGCUUUCAAGUCCUUUAGUUUUGUGAUCAUUUAGUAAUUCAUUUAAAAACACUUUGGGGUCUUUACUGUACUCCAUCUAAAUAUUUUCCUCUAUUAUGCUUCAUAUGACACAGUAUGAAAUAAUGUAAAGAAAAACAAUUGAUUUUACUCCCCAAAUAUUUAAAAAAUACGAUUUAAAAUGUAGAGCUUAUAGAGUUUUUGAGUAAUAUAUAGUAAUGUCUAAUAUGAAGUUAAUGUGCCAAGUAGUGAUAUUCUAUUAUUUCACAUGAUUGUUAUCAACAAGUUAAGCAUGACUAGAGAGUGAUAAAAGUUCAUCAAAACAAGAUGAAUAAUAAAUUUAAGAGAGCAAUACCCUUCGAGCAGAGUCUUUUUUACCUUCCCCCGAGAGAGAGAAAGGAAAGAAGACUGUCUUCUUUCCUUUCUCUCUCUCGGAGGAAGGUAAAGGAGACUCUGCUCGCAGGGUAAAAGAGCAAGUUACUUCUGCCAUUUCGAAGGAAAACAACCUUUGAACUAGGCUGGAGACUGAGCCUACCUUUGAACUGCAAUAGGUACACAAUUAACUAAUAAACAAUCAAUAAUGCUUAA